rnacentral:rRNA from 1 species
GUGGAUUAGAUACCCUGGUAGUCCACGCCCUAAACGAUGCGAACUGGAUGUUGGGAGCAACUAGGCUCUCAGUAUCGAAGCUAACGCGUUAAGUUCGCCGCCUGGGGAGUACGGUCGCAAGACUGAAACUCAAAGGAAUUGACGGGGGCCCGCACAAGCGGUGGAGUAUGUGGUUUAAUUCGAUGCAACGCGCAGAACCUUACCUGGCCUUGACAUCCACGGAACUUUCCAGAGAUGGAUUGGUGCCUUCGGGAACCGUGAGACAGGUGCUGCAUGGCCGUCGACAACU